rnacentral:rRNA from 1 species
ACGUACGUCGUACGAGGGUACGGUACGUACGUACUGGCUACAGGACGAACGCUGGCGGCACGCUUAACACAUGCAAGUCGAACGGAGUUAAAGAGCUUGCUCUUAAACUUAGUGGCGGACGGGUGAGUAACACGUGAGCAACCUGCCUUCAAGCGAGGAAUAAUGGCUGGAAACGACCACUAAUACCUCAUAACAUAGCGAGACCGCAUGAUCUUGCUAUCAAAGGUUUACCACUUGAAGAUGGGCUCGCGUCCGAUUAGCCAGUUGGUGAGGUAACGGCUCACCAAAGCGACGAUCGGUAGCCGUACUGAGAGGUAGAACGGCCACAUUGGGACUGAGACACGGCCCAGACUCCUACGGGAGGCAGCAGUGGGGAAUAUUGCACAAUGGAGGAAACUCUGAUGCAGCGAUGCCGCGUGAGGGAAGAAGGCUUUCGGGUUGUAAACCUCUGUUAUCAGGGACGAAAAUGACGGUACCUGAGGAGGAAGCUCCGGCUAACUACGUGCCAGCAGCCGC